rnacentral:rRNA from 1 species
GACGAGCGGCGGACGGGUGAGUAAUGUCUGGGAAACUGCCUGAUGGAGGGGGAUAACUACUGGAAACGGUAGCUAAUACCGCAUGACGUCUUCGGACCAAAGUGGGGGACCUUCGGGCCUCACGCCAUCAGAUGUGCCCAGAUGGGAUUAGCUAGUAGGUGGGGUAAUGGCUCACCUAGGCGACGAUCUCUAGCUGGUCUGAGAGGAUGACCAGCCACACUGGAACUGAGACACGGUCCAGACUCCUACGGGAGGCAGCAGUGGGGAAUAUUGCACAAUGGGCGCAAGCCUGAUGCAGCCAUGCCGCGUGUAUGAAGAAGGCCUUCGGGUUGUAAAGUACUUUCAGCGAGGAGGAAGGCAUUGUGGUUAAUAACCUUAGUGAUUGACGUUACUCGCAGAAGAAGCACCGGCUAACUCCGUGCCAGCAGCCGCGGUAAUACGGAGGGUGCAAGCGUUAAUCGGAAUUACUGGGCGUAAAGCGCACGC